UGCUCCCCGGCCUCUCCCGCUUCGUCUCCAUCGGCCUCUACAUGCCCGCUGUCGGCUUCUUGCUCCUGGUCCUUGGUCUCAAGGCUCUGGAACUGUGGAUGCAGCUGCAUGAGGCCGGAAUGGGCCUUGAGGAGCCCGGGGGUGCCCCUGGCCCCAGUGUACCCCUUCCCCCAUCACAGGGUGUGGGGCUGGCCUCGCUCGUGGCACCUCUGCUGAUCUCGCAGGCCAUGGGACUGGCCCUCUAUGUCCUGCCAGUGCUGGGCCAACACGUUGCCACCCAGCACUUCCCAGUGGCAGAGGCUGAGGCUGUGGUGCUGACACUGCUGGCGAUUUAUGCAGCUGGCCUGGCCCUGCCCCACAAUACCCACCGGUGAGAGGCUGGGCUGGUUGUGGGGGGCAGGGGUAGAGGUCCCCUGGACAUGCAGACAGCUUGUGGGUUGCCUCUGAGUCCUUUGUCUUGCAGGGUGAUAAGCACACAGGCCCCAGACAGGGGCUGGAUGGCACUGAAGCUGGUAGCCCUGAUCUACCUAGCACUGCAGCUGGGCUGCAUCGCCCUCACCAACUUCUCACUGGGCUUCCUGCUGGCCACCACCAUGGUGCCCACUGCUGCGCUUGCCAAGCCUCAUGGGCCCCAGACCCUCUAUGCUGCCCUGCUGGUGCUGACCAGCCCGGCAGCCACGCUCCUUGGCAGCCUGUUCCUGUGGCGGGAGCUGCAGGAGGCGCCACUGUCACUGGCCGAGGGCUGGCAGCUCUUCCUGGCAGCGCUGGCCCAGGGUGUGCUGGAGCACCACACCUACGGUGCCCUGCUCUUCCCACUGCUGUCCCUGGGCCUCUACCCCUGCUGGCUGCUUUUCUGGAAUGUGCUCUUCUGGAAGUGAGAUCUGCCUGUCCGGGCUGGGACAGAGACUCCCCAAGGACCCCAUUCUGCCUCCUUCU
rnacentral:sRNA from 1 species